GAUGAACGCUGGCGGCGUGCCUAAUACAUGCAAGUCGAGCGAACGGACGAGAAGCUUGCUUCUCUGAUGUUAGCGGCGGACGGGUGAGUAACACGUGGAUAACCUACCUAUAAGACUGGGAUAACUUCGGGAAACCGGAGCUAAUACCGGAUGAUAUUUUGAACCGCAUGGUUCAAAAGUGAAAGACGGUCUUGCUGUCACUUAUAGAUGGAUCCGCGCUGCAUUAGCUAGUUGGUAAGGUAACGGCUUACCAAGGCAACGAUGCAUAGCCGACCUGUGAGGGUGAUCGGCCACCCUGGAACUGAGACACGGUCCAGACUCCUACGGGAGGCAGCAGUAGGGAAUCUUCCGCAAUGGGCGAAAGCCUUACGGAGCAACGCCGCGUGAGUGAUGAAGGUCUUCGGAUCGUAAAACUCUGUUAUUAGGGAAGAACAUAUGUGUAAGUAACUGUGCACAUCUUGACGGUACCUAAUCAGAAAGCCACGGCUAACUACGUG
rnacentral:rRNA from 1 species